UCGAAGGUAGCAUAAUCAGUAGUUUUUUAAUUGAAAACUUGUAUGAAAGGUUGGACGAGAUAUAAGCUGUUUCAAAAAAUUUUAUUGAAUUUAAUUUUUUAGUAAAAAAGCUAAAAUAUUUAAAUUAGACGAGAAGACCCUUUAGAGUUUUAUAUUUAUAUAUUAAUUUAAUUAAAUUAUUUUUUUUUGUUAUUAUUUUAUUUAUAUAUUUAUUUUAUUGGGGUGAUAUUAAAAUUUAAUAAACUUUUAUUUAUUUUUUUUUCAUUUAUUUAUGUUUUAUUGAUCCAAUUUUAUUGAUUAAAAAAUUAAAUUACCUAAGGGAUAACAGCGUAAUAUUUUUAAAAGUUCUUAUUAAAGAAAAUGUUUGCGACCUCGAUGUUGGAUUAA
rnacentral:rRNA from 1 species